rnacentral:rRNA from 1 species
AUUGAACGGCUGCGGCAGGCCUAACACAUGCAAGUCGAGCGGUAGCGACAGAGAGCUUGCUCUCGGGUGACGAGCGGCGGACGGGUGAGUAAUGUCUGGGAAACUGCCUGAUGGAGGGGGAUAACUACUGGAAACGGUAGCUAAUACCGCAUAACGUCGCAAGGCCAAAGUGGGGGACCUUCGGGCCUCAUGCCAUCAGAUGUGCCCAGAUGGGAUUAGCUAGUAGGUGGGGUAAUGGCUCACCUAGGCGACGAUCCCUAGCUGGUCUGAGAGGAUGACCAGCCACACUGGAACUGAGACACGGUCCAG